AGGACGAACGCUGGCGGCGUGCUUAACACAUGCAAGUCGAACGGUGACCCGGAGCUUGCUCCGGUGAUCAGUGGCGAACGGGUGAGUAACACGUGGGCAACCUGCCCUUGGCUCUGGGAUAACUCCGAGAAAUCGGGGCUAAUACCGGAUAUGAAGUCGGAAGGCAUCUUCUGACUUGGAAAGUUUUCGGCCAAGGAUGGGCCCGCGGCCUAUCAGCUUGUUGGUGGGGUAAUGGCCUACCAAGGCGACGACGGGUA
rnacentral:rRNA from 1 species